UCGGACGUACUUUAGUCAUACUGUUUUCGGAUGCAGCAAGUGUUCUGACUGUUACUGCUUGUCUGAACGUUCUUCGUGGAAAUAAUGAAGUGUCUAGUUGGUCCAGUGGGCUACUCAGAAUACAAAAACCACGCAAUCUAGAGAAGGCAAAGAAGAAAAAAAAGAUCGUCUGAACAUGCAAUCCAGAAGAACAAGGAAACUUGUGCUUGAGAACCACAUUCUAGGGACUAAGCGGGAUUUACAAGGAGCACGAGGCCAGGCCAAGCGGUCCACUUUAAAGGAAGCACGCUGACACAUGUAUGCUGGUGGCGAGCAGCUGAGGCAGCUGCAGGUCGGGCGGAGGAAACGCCCUCUCUGUCUAUCCUCUUCACUGGCUGGAGUUCACCCUGUCCCUGAGCUCCCCGCCCCUGAUCGCAACCUCCAAAAAAGAUGCACAAGCUGGACUUUGCGAGACAUUACAGAUAAAGAUUGUUCAAAGCUUUUUUUUCAUUGACAUUUGCUUUUG